UCAAAUCUGGCUUAUCUAUUGUGCGAGUCCGGAAAAUUAUGCAGUCAAUUGGUUUUAUUGGGCCAGGUGUGUCGUUGCUAUGUUUAAGAUUUGCCCAAACACCAUCGAUUGCGGCAGUUAUCAUGACGGCCGCCUUGGGUUUGAGUUCCUGCAGUCAAGCUGGGUACUUCUGUAAUGUACAGGUAACUACUGUUCAUGUCAUAUCAUAUCCUGAUCAUAUCAUCUCUACUCAGUGCCUGUUCUUCUUCCGGAUCAGUAGCUCCACUAACAAUCUGAAUGUGUUUCCAUUAUUUUCCAUCAGGACAUUGCCCCUAAAUACGCUGGAUCCCUACACGGUAUGUUCGCAAACUUUUUUUAUAGCAUCAUCAGUAGACAACAAGAUCCAUAUUCCUGCAUUGAUGAAUUAAUUCUUCAGCCCUUAUAUCGGCAUCUCUUGUGCUGCUUGGACAGGAAUGACGAACGGCAUUGGGACGGUGGCCGCCAUAGUAAGCACGGUAGGAGCAGGAUACUUCGUCCAGUGGCUGGGAUCCUUCCAGGCCUUCCUCACCCUAACGGCGGUGCUCUAUUUCAGCGCCACUGUCUUCUACAACAUCUACGCAACAGGAGACCUGAUUUUUGACUGAGCUGAAAAUUAUUUUUUCCGUCUAUAAUGUCAAAAUGUAGAAUACAGCUUGUAAAAUGUCUCUCUGCGCCCACCGCGCAGAGCAAAGAAACGAAUAUAAUCCCACCGCGCAGAGCAAAGAAACGAAUAUAA
rnacentral:lncRNA from 1 species